CCUGGCGUCUUGUCCGCCAUCUUGAUUCUCUACCCCGCUCAAGCCUUGGCAGCAGAGAAUCGAGCGCCGAUUCCAUUGAUUGAAGGGAGGCGGAAGGAGGAAGCAGUCACGGCGAGUCGAUAGCCAAACAGCAGAUGAGCGAGGUUUGAUCCGUAACGUUGGAGACGUCGCGUCUCGCUUUGCUUUGCUGCAGGGUGAGAAAAGCAAGAGGGUGCGUCGGCGCAGGAUAAUGCUGUGCAGGUACUACAGUAACUUCAGUGGAAAACUCUGAGGGUUUGGAACUGCAACUUCCAAAGAAGGUUGUGAGUCUACAGGAACUGAUAGAAAGGGCUCUUGCUCUCACAUGGGAAGAACAGGGAAGAUGUGGACCCUUGAGUAUCAAAUACACCAAAUUUCAAAAAUGAGAAACCGGCAAAUUAGGUUCUGUACUAGAACAAAUCAUCCCACGAGGGAGCAAGGCUGAGGACCUUUCCCGAGCAGAGCUUGGGAAAGAAGUUGGACUCCCAGGAGAUGCACCACAGAAAAAACCACAGCUCCCAGGAGCACCUGCACCACUCCUAGGACUGCAGACAGAAACUUUGCCAGAAGCUGUUUAAAAUCUCAACCUGCCAUGGCUGCUCCAUCACCACUGGAAGCAAGAUGAGCUAACUUCAGCCUGACUCCUUCCAGGUCGGGAAAGAGGAUAAGCAGCAUAUUUCUCCAACACUCCACCUUUUCCUCCAGCACUCUUCAGACAAGGAGAGGAGAGCACAUGUGAACAACGGCUAGAGGGCUGCACUGAUAUUUCCCCAGCUGAAAAGCAGAGAACAGCAAGGCUAAUCCUUACUGCAUACACACCCGCUUUAAGCAGCUGGGAAGGGCAGCAAAAGUAGACAGUCAGUGCAGUACUGGUUGUCUGAUCAUCUAGUGUGCAUGGGCCUAGGAGAGACUAAAUCCUGGAUAAACAGCCGUUUUAAGGCCACUGGUCACCAAAUAUACACCAACCGACACAUUCAACAGCACAGAAUGUCCCAUUGUCUACAGUAUAAUAUGCCUUUGUCUUUUCUUUUUAAUUAUUAAUGUGCUAUAUGUGCAUUACAUUCUCAUUUUUUAUUUCCCAACCCAACGGAAGAUUUAAAAAUGGCUCCCUUAAUUUAAUCUUUUGAAACUCAUUGUACGUUAUGCUUGGUUAUCAUAUUACAAUGUAAUGGAAUACUAUUAUUUUUUAAAUACAGUGCAAUGAUUUUGGAUUGCCUUAUUCAGUUCAUCUAAAACACUGGGAGGUUCAACACUAAAUAGAUCAAAGCAAAUAACCCAAGCCAUCAGGGACAGACAAUAGCUGAAUCUAGCAAGUCUUUAAAUACACACACACACACACACACACACCUGUCAAUGGCAAAAGAGGCUUACAAUACAUCUUCCCCUGUAUCGCUUUUUGUGUUCUGAUUGCAUAACUGUGCUGAUUACAUAAAUGUACAGUAGAUAAAUGUACAGUCUGUAUAAGAAUCAACACAACAGUCACUACUUUUAUCCAGAGGUGGAUAUGGGUAUUCCCAUCCCAUCUGGCAUAAAGAAUGGUUUUUAUGCUGGAACCACAGGCCAGUAUAUAGGAGUCGAUUGAUUAAUCUAUAGGUAUUUGCAUAAAUUGUACAGCAUAAUGCCAUACCACCAGCUAGGUAUCAUGCAUGGCAUGCGAAGAAUUUCAGCAAAGCGUCCUAGAUUGUUGUUCCUUAAAAUCCAAAUUAAAAUUUUUAAUGUGUCUAAGGAUCUGCCAG